AUUGAACGCUGGCGGCAGGCCUAACACAUGCAAGUCGAGCGGAUGAAGGGAGCUUUCUCCUGGAUUCAGCGGCGGACGGGUGAGUAAUGCCUAGGAAUCUGCCUGGUAGUGGGGGAUAGCGUCCGGAAACGGGCACUAAUACCGCAUACGUCCUGAUGGAGAAAGUGGGGGAUCUUCGGACCUCACGCUAUCAGAUGAGCCUUGGUCGGAUUAGCUAGUUGGUGGGGUAAAGGCCUACCAAGGCGACGAUCCGUAACUGGUCUGAGAGGAUGAUCAGUCACACUGGAACUGAGACACGGUCCAGACUCCUACGGGAGGCAGCAGUGGGGAAUAAUGGACAAUGGGCGAAAGCCUGAUCCAGCCAUGCCGCGUGUGUGAAGAAGGUCUUCGGAUUGUAAAGCACUUUAAGUUGGGAGGAAGGGAAGUAAGUUAAUACCUUGCUGUUUUGACGUUACCAACAGAAUAAGCACCGGCUAACUUCGUG
rnacentral:rRNA from 1 species